rnacentral:rRNA from 1 species
AGAGUUUGAUCCUGGCUCAGGACGAACGCUGGCGGCGUGCUUAACACAUGCAAGUCGAACGGAAAGGCCCUUCGGGGUACUCGAGUGGCGAACGGGUGAGUAACACGUGGGUGAUCUGCCCUGCACUUUGGGAUAAGCCUGGGAAACUGGGUCUAAUACCGAAUAUGACCAUGCGCCUCCUGGUGUGUGGUGGAAAGCUUUUGCGGUGUGGGAUGGGCCCGCGGCCUAUCAGCUUGUUGGUGGGGUAAUGGCCUACCAAGGCGACGACGGGUAGCCGGCCUGAGAGGGUGACCGGCCACACUGGGACUGAGAUACGGCCCAGACUCCUACGGGAGGCAGCAGUGGGGAAUAUUGCACAAUGGGCGCAAGCCUGAUGCAGCGACGCCGCGUGAGGGAUGACGGCCUUCGGGUUGUAAACCUCUUUCAGCACAGACGAAGCGCAAGUGACGGUAUGUGCAGAAGAAGGACCGGCCAACUACGUGCCAGCAGCCGCGGUAAUACGUAGGGUCCGAGCGUUGUCCGGAAUUACUGGGCGUAAAGAGCUCGUAGGUGGUUUGUCGCGUUGUUCGCGAAAACUCACAGCUCAACUGUGGGCGUGCGGGCGAUACGGGCAGACUUGAGUACUGCAGGGGAGACUGGAAUUCCUGGUGUAGCGGUGGAAUGCGCAGAUAUCAGGAGGAACACCGGUGGCGAAGGCGGGUCUCUGGGCAGUAACUGACGCUGAGGAGCGAAAGCGUGGGGAGCGAACAGGAUUAGAUACCCUGGUAGUCC